rnacentral:tRNA from 1 species
GCCGAUGUAGCUCAGUUGGUCAGAGCAACGGUUUUGUAAACCGUAGGUCGAGAGUUCGAAUCUCUCCAUCGGCU